GACAACUUACACUUUCUACUCAAAAAAUCAAUCUACAAUCUCUAUUUGUUUCUUUGUGUUAUUGUGUGAUCUUUGAAAAUGGCGAAUUACCAGAACCAAUAUGGUGCAACGGCCCAAUCUACAAAUGAUUACGGGAACCCACUCACCAACUACACCGGAUCAGAGCCCCAAUCUACAAAUGAGUACGGGGCUACAGAUGAGUAUGGGAACCCAGUCACCACCUACACCAGAUCAGAGCCCCACUAUACAGAUGAGUAUGGGAACCCAGUACGCGAAAGGGGGAUGAUGGACAAGAUCAAGGAGAAGCUCCCAGGUACUCAUGACCCCUACUCAUCUCAUUCUCAGACAACCUACCCCACUGCACGUUACGGUGAAACCGGCUACACUGGAUUGGAGCAGCACCAUGGGAUGAUGAACAAGAUGCCAGGUACUGACCCCUACUCAUCUCAUUCUCAUACAACCGGCACCACUGCACCUUACGAUGGAACCGGCUACACCGGAACAGAGUACCGCCAGCACAAGGGCACGAUGGACAGGAUCAAGGAUAAGCUGACUGGGACUGGUGGACAUAGGGUGGAUGAUCCCUACUCAUCUCAUUCUCAUAAAACCGCCACCACCACACCUUACGGUGGCACCACCACCACAGCUUACGGUGACAGCACCACCACACCUUCACCUUACGGUGGCACCACCACCACACAUUCACCUUACGGUGGCACCACCACCACAGCUUACGGUGACACCACCACCACACCUUCAGCUUACGGUGGCACCACCACCACACCUUCAGCUUACGGUGGCACCGCCACCACCACCUACCCCCGUGAAAAGAAGGGCAUCAUGGACAAGAUCAAAGAGAAACUUCCUGGUGGACAUCAUUAUUAAUAAUAGGGUUAUGUAAGAGAUAGAUACGUUAGGUAUCGUUUUGUGUUCAAUGUUUUAGUAUGACGUGUAUAAUAAGCGGUGCUUGGUGUGGUUGUUAUGUUUGUGAACACCGAGCUCUGCGCCAUGUCCUUUGUAUUUUGUGAUACAUACUUUGUAUGUCCUUUAUAUCUAUCUUAACAAUAGUUCCUGUGUAAGCAAGUUUUAAUUGUUUGGAGAGGGAUUUAUUAAAACCAGCAAUAGUCUAAUUAUUUUAAAUUAUUAUAAUUUACAAGGAAUUCAAACUUGAGGCCAAAAACGUAAGGCUCACCUCUGCUAUUAUUCAUGGUAUUCACGAUUGGGUUGUAGAUAAAGAAUUUUAUGGCUAUACGUUGUGGUAUCUUACGGCACUUCAACAAUAAAGUAUCUAUUCCACACAAACAAAAGACGGUUCAUGUCACGAUUAUUGACUUAACCCACAUAUACUUUGAAAUUAAAUUUUUUUUCAGUAAAAGCAUUUAAAUUUGGAGUCAUUCUAUAAUGAAGGCGGCUCUUAGAUGAGAUAUUAUCUCUUAAUUAUUAAAUUAAAUUAAUUAUUUUGAUCUAACGAUUAACUAAUUUAAUUUAAUAAUUAAAAAAUAGAACAUCAUCUAGAUGAGACCCACACUUUAGAAUUUGGCUACUCAACAGAUUGGUCCGUUUCAUGUCGGCCGUUUGUAGACCAAACUGCUGAAAUUGGGCCGGUUCAAUUCAAUAACCCUGUACAGCUAGAACCAAUGGAUAACACCCACGUGGAACCUCAUACACGGAACGAUGAAAUCCCUCUUAUGAAUCUUAGCCAUCCAAUGAGUCGGUCUGUGUGACAAAGAUCAAGAUGAUGAAUGACUUUUACAAGGGUCAAAAGCUAGUGGAGUGGAACGGGUACAGAUGUUGUUGUUCCUCCUGUCGUCAUCAAUUCCAUACAGACGCGGUGAAAUGAUACCUGCUUUUCAAGACAACGAGAACCACUUAUUUUAUCUUAUCUUAAUCGUAAUCUUUAAUCUUAUGCCCGACGUAAAAAGAAAACAAAACAAAAACAAAAUAUCUUCCGAUGUGCCGACACCGGCACACAGGUGUCCUGUCUCAACAGCGCCACGUGUCUCAUAUGUGAAUAUCAGGUAGGUAUGAAAUUUACUUUGCUAAUUAUGUACGUGGGUACGUGUAAAGAUUAAUGAAAUUAUUAUUCAUGGCAUGGCAUGCGCGUUAUGCAUAAUGCAUGCAUAGCCUUUGGGUGUAGAUUCGUUGCCUAUAUAAACCAACCUCAGUUCUAAUUUCAAAUACAUCACUUCAUCCCAAACCAAAGCCAGUUUCAUUCAUUUGGUUUUUAUCAGGAGUUGUAUUUUCUUGUGUCUUUUUUUGUUCGUACUUUGAAAAAUGGCGCAUUUUGGUUCAACACCCGAGCCUACUAAGACUGAUGAGUAUGGGAACCCGGUUCAUCACACCACCACCGGAACCGGUCGGACAGACGAGUUCGGGAACCCGGUUCAGCACGGCGUGGCGGAUACCGGGUACGGAACUGGUGCAGGGUACGGCACUCAUACAAAACCUGGUGUUGUUGAGCACCACGGCGUCCCUGCUGUGCUUCAUUCCAAGGAUGACCAGUACUCUCGUGAUACCCAGACAACCACUGGAGGUUACGGUGGGGACGGGUACACAGGAGGAGAGCACCAGGAGAAGAAGGGUUUACUAGGCCAACUCCAGGACAAGCUGCCAGGUGGGAACAAGGAUGGCCAGUACUCUCAUGACACCCAGACAACCACUGGAGCUUACGGUGGGGCCGGCUACACAGGAGGAGAGCACCACGAGAAGAAGGGUAUAAUAGGCCAAGUUAAGGACAAGCUGCCAGGUGGGCAAAAGGAUGACCAGUACUGUCGUGACACCCACCCAACCACUGGAGCUUACGGUGGCGCCGGCUACACAGGAGGAGAGGACCACGAGAAGAAGGGUAUAAUAGGCCAAGUCAAAGACAAGCUGCCAGGUGGGCAAAAGGAUGACCAGUACUGUCGUGACACCCACCCAACCACUGGAGCUUACGGUGGGGCCGGCUACACAGGAGGAGAGCACCAGGAGAAGAAGGGUAUAAUAGGCCAAGUUAAGGACAAGCUGCCAGGUGGGCAAAAGGAUGAUCAGUACUCUCAUGACACCCACAAAACUACUGGAGCUUACGGUGGGGCCGGAUACACAGGAGAUGAUACCCGGGAGAAGAAGGGUAUAAUAGGCCAAGUGAAGGACAAGCUGCCAGGUGGGCAAAAGGAUGACCAUUACUCUCAUGACACCCACCCAACAACUGGAGCUUACGGUGGGGCCGGGUACACAGGAGAUGAUACCCGGGAGAAGAAGGGUAUAAUAGACCAAGUAAAGGACAAGCUGCCGGGUGGGCAAAAGGAUGACCAUUACUCUCAUGAGACCCACCCAACCACUGGAGCUUACGGUGGGGCAGGGUACACAGGAGAUGAUACACGGGAGAAGAAGGGUGUAGUGGAGAAAGUGAAGGAGAAGCUGCCAGGUGGGCAAAAUGUGCACCCAACCACUGGACCUUACGGUGGGGGUGGGGCCGCGGGCAUAGGAGAGACCCGGGAGAGGAAGGGUGUAGGGGAGAAAGUGAAGGAGAAGCUGCCAGGUGGACAUAAGGAUGACCAGUACCUUCAUGACACCCACCCAACCAAGCCAACCAGUGCAGCUCACGGUGGGGUCGGGCACACAGGAGGAGAGCCCCAGCUCCAUGAGAAGAAGGGGUUGAUUGAGAAAAUCAAAGACAAGCUUCCUGGUCACAACAACUAGAUGGAAUGGAUCAUCAUUUGGACUUCCUAUCAGAUAAUUAUCUGCUGUGCUGCUGUGUAUAAUAAAUCGGUGCUUGUUGUUGGUCUGUGACCACCGAGCAUUGUACAAUGUCGUAUUUUGUAAUAUUUGGAUGUCGUUUGUGUUAUAGUAUAAAUGUGCUCUUCUGAGUACAGUGUUUUGCUUUUGUAACUAUUUAUUGUCUGCUGCUUUCAAGUAUAAAUCUCAAUAAUGCACAUAUAUUAUUAUUAUUAUUUUGUGAUGAAAUAGGUUUGUCUAAAUGAAAUCUUAACCAAGGGUUGAAAAUCAAAUUUUUUGGAAAAAAGAACCCAAAGGCUCCUACUUUCUGCACCGGCCCCUUGAAAAAGUGAAGAGUUUGAAAUGUCAAGAGAUCUUGUGAACCUUUUGCUUUAAGCUGUUGAGCAGCAGUAUCACAAGCUACAACUUCAUAGCUAUCCUUUAACGUUUGACGGACUGCCUUGCCCUCCUCUAUCUGAGUGAAGAAGUUGGCUUUCUUUGCCUUUUCUUCUUGUUGCCGCUUUUCUCAGAGUUUUGUUUUUUCUUACUGUUUGUUUGGUCUUCUUCUUGUAUUUGCCGUUGACUGGUUGCUCGGUCUCGGUUUGUUCUCCUGACCCUUUGGUAUUUGUUUAUGAAAGUACAACUUUACCCCCCAAAAAAGAAAAGUAAUUCGCUUUUAGCUCGUCUAAAUCCCUGAGCACAUACGAACAAGGCCCCUAAUUUGUAUAAACCUAUAUAUAUAUAUUAUUUAAAAAUAAAAUGCAAUAUAUAUUAAUUUUUAUGUAUUUUAUAAAGUUGUUAAUUCCUUUUUAAAUUACAACAGUUCAUAUAAAUGUUUUUAACUUACCGGGAAAAAAAAAAUUCACAUAAGAAUACAUAAAAAGUGGGCAUAAAUCACUCUCUGAAACAUUAUCCCACUCCUCCGAACGACCUUUACAGCGCCACUUGUCAAAAUGUGACAAUGCAACAAGUUCCAAUAAUUUUCAACUGAUACAGAGGUAGCUAUCGUCAAACAGGCUCUUGUGCAUACGCGGUCAAAGUGUCACGAGCUUUUAACACCAAGACAAAGAAUACUAUUAUUAACACAUGAUAUACACAUCUUAUCUUAUCUAUGAUGCAGAAACAAGAUCCAAUUGUCCUCUCACGGCGCCGGCAGGUGUCCCAGUGGCUAACGUGGCUGCAGUGCAUGGAGUCACUAUUCGCGUACGUGUAAGAAUAUGCAUGCCUUGCCAAUCCAAUUGCCCAUAUAUAACCCCCAAACCCCGUUUCUCAUUUCAAAUACAUCAAAUCCCAAACAGAUCUUAAUUUAAAAUUACUCAAAAGUUCAGCAGCUGUUUGUGUUUGCAGUUUGAAAAUGGCGAGCUAUGAGAAGCAGUACGGGGCAACACCGACCGACGAGUACGGGAACCCGAUCCGCCGCACCGACGAGUACGGGAACCCACUUGGUCAUCACACUACUACGACCGGAACCACCGCGGCCACCACUGGCGCAGGAGGGUACGACCCUCAUGACUUCGCCGCCACCACGGUAGCUGGCCAAGGCCAAGGGGUGCAUGGUCACGACUAUGACAGGAAAGGGCACCACGGCGUCACUGGCGCCGUGCUUCACCGCUCUGGUAGCUCAAGCUCUAGCUCUGUAAGUCCUCUUUUUUUUUCUUUUUCUUUUUUUUUAAAUUUUCCUCUAAUAUAUCAAAUUAUGGGAAUUUAAUUUCAUGAAUAAUAUGCUCGAUUGCGCAAUAUAUUUUGUGCUACAUCUCUAACAGUUGUUAUAGAUGUGGUCACAACUUUUGUGUCACAUCAAUAUUUAACAGUUUUAACAGUUUGUGUCAAGUCUCACGGAUCACACUGUUUUGUAUCACAUCCAUCUUGAACAGAAGUGAGACUCGUCUUGUGUCGCACUAUUUCAUCACAAAAAUAAUUUUAUGGUGAUUUUAUUAUAUAUGAUAUGAUAAAGUUGGUAAUUGAUUGUGAUUUGUAGUCUGAGGAUGACGGGCUAGGAGGGAGGAGGAAGAAGAAGGGGUUGAAGGAGAAGGUAAAGGAGAAGCUGCCAGGUGGAACCAAAACCGAUACAACAUACGGUGGAACUGGGACCACCGGGCAGCACCACCAGGAGAAGGGGACGAUGGACAAGAUCAAGGAGAAGCUGCCUGGGACUGGGGGGCAUAGGGCAGAUGACCCCUACCCAUCUCAGACUCAUACAACUGCCACCACCACACCUUAUGGUGGAACCGCCUACACCGAAGAGCACCAAGAGAAGAAGGGGAUCAUGGACAAGAUCAAGGAGAAACUUCCCGGACA
rnacentral:lncRNA from 1 species